AGUUUUUUUGUAUUUAUUUUUUUUGGUGAAAAAUGAUAUGAAAUGUAUGAUGAUGAAUGCAAAUGUAAUGAUAUGUGUAUGAAUGUAGUGACAUGUUUAGGAUCACACGUUCAAGGUGUUCUCAGAUGGAUCAGAAUAACGGGUAAAAUUUUGGUGAAAAAUGAUAUGAAAUGUAUGAUGAUGAAUGCAAAUGUAAUGAUAUGUGUAUGAAUGUAGUGACAUGUUUAGGAUCACACGUUCAAGGUGUUCUCAGAUGGAUCAGAAUAACGGGUAAACGCC
rnacentral:lncRNA from 1 species